rnacentral:rRNA from 1 species
UUCCGUAGGUGAACCUGCGGAAGGAUCAUUAAUGAAACUUCAAAGUCGGCUCGUCUAUCUGUGCUGGUGGAGACACAUGUGCACGUUGGCAAGUCGCAAAUCCACACACCUGUGCAUCUAUGACUCUGAGUACCGCUUUGCAUGGCCCUCUGGGGCCUGGUACUCGAGUACUUUACACACUCUGAAUGUAAUGGAAUGUCUUUUUGUACAAUGUACAACUAAAAACAACUUUCAACAACGGAUCUCUUGGCUCUCGCAUCGAUGAAGAACGCAGCGAAAUGCGAUAAGUAAUGUGAAUUGCAGAAUUCAGUGAAUCAUCGAAUCUUUGAACGCACCUUGCACCCUUUGGUAUUCCGAAGGAUACACCCGUUUGAGUGUCAUUGUAAUCUCACUGCGACCACUUUAUUGUUGGUUUGUAUGUGGACUUGGAUGUUGCCGUGUAACAAACGGCUCGUCUGAAAUGCCUGAGUGUACCCUGCUUUUGCGGCGUAUUCGGUGUGAUAAAUCUUCACCGGAGUUGACUUUCGGGUCGCGCUUGUAUUGUCGGGCUCUAUGCUUCCAACCGUCCUAACAAGACAAUCUUUGACAAUUUGACCUCAAAUCGAGUGGGACUACCCGCUGAACUUAAGCAUAUCAAUAAGCGGAGGAAAAGAAACUAACAAGGAUUCCCCUAGUAACGGCGAGUGAAGAGGGAAAAGCUCAAAUUUUGAAUCUGGUGUCUUUGACUCCCGAGUUGUAAUCUAGAGAAGUGUUUUCCGCGUUGGACCGUGUACAAGUUCCCUGGAACGGGGCGUCAUAGAGGGUGAGAAUCCCGUAUAUGCCACGGACUACCAAUGCUCUGUGAUACACUCUCAACGAGUCGAGUUGUUUGGGAAUGCAGCUCAAAAUGGGUGGUAAAUUCCAUCUAAAGCUAAAUAUUGGCGAGAGACCGAUAGCGAACAAGUACCGUGAGGGAAAGAUGAAAAGCACUUUGGAAAGAGAGUGAAACAGUACGUGAAAUUGUUGAAAGGGAAGCGUUUGAAGUCAGUCACGUCUGUCGGAAUUCAGCCUGGCUUCUGCCUGGUGUACUUUCCGUCUGACGGGUCAGCAUCAAUUUCGACCGAGGGAAAAAGACGUGAGGAAUGUGGCUGUCUUCGGGCAGUGUUAUAGACUCGCGUUGUAUGUCUCGGUUGGGAUUGAGGAACGCAGCGCGCCUAUUGGCCGGGGGUUCGUGCCCCUCGGUACGCGCUUAGGAUGCUGGCAUAAUGGCUUUAAGCGACCCGUCUUG